UAGAGUUUGAUCUUGGCUCAGAACGAACGCUGGCGGCGCGUCUUAAGCAUGCAAGUCGGACGGCAUGAGGAACGCUUGCAUUCCUCAGAGAGUGGCGGACUGGUGAGUAACACGUGGGUGACCUACCCUUGAGAUGGGGAUAGCCGUUAGAAAUAGCGGAUAAUACCGAAUACGCUCUACGAACUGUGGUUUGUAGAGGAAAUCAGGCUACGGCCUGGCUCAAGGAUGGGCCCGCGUCCCAUUAGCUAGUUGGUGAGGUAACGGCCCACCAAGGCGACGAUGGGUAUCCGGCCUGAGAGGGUGUACGGACACAUUGGGACUGAGAUACGGCCCAAACUCCUACGGGAGGCAGCAGCUAAGAAUAUUCCGCAAUGGACGAAAGUCUGACGGAGCGACGCCGCGUGGAUGAAGAAGGCCGAAAGGUUGUAAAGUCCUUUUGCUGAUGAAGAAUAAGCGUGGUAGGGAAUGACCGCGUGAUGACAUUAGUCGGUGAAUAAGCCCCGGCUAACCACGUGCCAGCAGCCGCGGUAACACGUAGGGGGCAAGCGUUGUUCGGAAUUAUUGGGCGUAAAGGGCAUGUAGGCGGUUUGGUAAGCCUGAUGUGAAAUCCUGCAGCUUAACUGUAGAAUUGCAUUGGGUACUGCCGAACUUGAAUCACUGAGGGGAAACUAGAAUUCCAGGUGUAGGGGUGGAAUCUGUAGAUAUCUGGAAGAAUACCGGUGGCGAAGGCGGGUUUCUAGCAGAUGAUUGACGCUGAGGUGCGAAAGUGCGGGGAGCGAACAAGAUUAGAUACCCUGGUAGUCCGCACCGUAAAC
rnacentral:rRNA from 1 species